GAUGAACGCUGGCGGCGUGCCUAAUACAUGCAAGUCGAGCGAACAGACGAGGAGCUUGCUCCUCUGACGUUAGCGGCGGACGGGUGAGUAACACGUGGAUAACCUACCUAUAAGACUGGGAUAACUUCGGGAAACCGGAGCUAAUACCGGAUAAUAUAUUGAACCGCAUGGUUCAAUAGUGAAAGACGGUUUUGCUGUCACUUAUAGAUGGAUCCGCGCCGCAUUAGCUAGUUGGUAAGGUAACGGCUUACCAAGGCGACGAUGCGUAGCCGACCUGAGAGGGUGAUCGCCCACCCUGGAACUGAGACACGGUCCAGACUCCUACGGGAGGCAGCAGUAGGGAAUCUUCCGCAAUGGGCGAAAGCUUGACGGAGCAACGCCGCGUGAGUGAUGAAGGUCUUCGGAUCGUAAACCUCUGUUAUUAGGGAAGAACAAAUGUGUAAGUAACUAUGCACGUCUUGACGGUACCUAAUCAGAAAGCCACGGCUAACUACGUG
rnacentral:rRNA from 1 species